rnacentral:rRNA from 1 species
AGACCCGAAACCCGGUGAUCUAGCCAUGGGCAGGUUGAAGGUUGGGUAACACUAACUGGAGGACCGAACCGACUAAUGUUGAAAAAUUAGCGGAUGACCUGUGGCUGGGGGUGAAAGGCCAAUCAAACCGGGAGAUAGCUGGUUCUCCCCGAAAGCUAUUUAGGUAGCGCCUCGUGAAUUCAUCUCCGGGGGUAGAGCACUGUUUCGGCUAGGGGGUCAUCCCGACUUACCAACCCGAUGCAAACUGCGAAUACCGGAGAAUGUUAUCACGGGAGACACACGGCGGGUGCUAACGUCCGUCGUGAAGAGGGAAACAACCCAGACCGCCAGCUAAGGUCCCAAAGUCAUGGUUAAGUGGGAAACGAUGUGGGAAGGCCCAGACAGCCAGGAUGUUGGCUUAGAAGCAGCCAUCAUUUAAAGAAAGCGUAAUAGCUCACUGGUCGAGUCGGCCUGCGCGGAAGAUGUAACGGGGCUAAACCAUGCACCGAAGCUGCGGCAGCGACACUCAGGUGUUGUUGGGUAGGGGAGCGUUCUGUAAGCCUGCGAAGGUGGCCUGUGAGGGUUGCUGGAGGUAUCAGAAGUGCGAAUGCUGACAUAAGUAACGAUAAAGCGGGUGAAAAGCCCGCUCGCCGGAAGACCAAGGGUUCCUGUCCAACGUUAAUCGGGGCAGGGUGAGUCGACCCCUAAGGCGAGGCCGAAAGGCGUAGUCGAUGGGAAACGGGUUAAUAUUCCCGUACUUGGUGUUACUGCGAAGGGGGGACGGAGAAGGCUAUGUUGGCCGGGCGACGGUUGUCCCGGUUUAAGCGUGUAGGUGUGUGUUCCAGGUAAAUCCGGUUCACUUUAACACUGAGGCGUGAUGACGAGGCACUACGGUGCUGAAGCAACAAAUGCCCUGCUUCCAGGAAAAGCCUCUAAGCAUCAGGUAACAUCAAAUCGUACCCCAAACCGACACAGGUGGUCAGGUAGAGAAUACCAAGGCGCUUGAGAGAACUCGGGUGAAGGAACUAGGCAAAAUGGUGCCGUAACUUCGGGAGAAGGCACGCUGACACGUAGGUGAAGUGAUUUACUCAUGGAGCUGAAGUCAGUCGAAGAUACCAGCUGGCUGCAACUGUUUAUUAAAAACACAGCACUGUGCAAACACGAAAGUGGACGUAUACGGUGUGACGCCUGCCCGGUGCCGGAAGGUUAAUUGAUGGGGUCAGCGCAAGCGAAGCUCCUGAUCGAAGCCCCGGUAAACGGCGGCCGUAACUAUAACGGUCCUAAGGUAGCGAAAUUCCUUGUCGGGUAAGUUCCGACCUGCACGAAUGGCGUAAUGAUGGCCAGGCUGUCUCCACCCGAGACUCAGUGAAAUUGAACUCGCUGUGAAGAUGCAGUGUACCCGCGGCAAGACGGAAAGACCCCGUGAACCUUUACUAUAGCUUGACACUGAACAUUGAGCCUUGAUGUGUAGGAUAGGUGGGAGGCUUUGAAGCGUGGACGCCAGUCUGCGUGGAGCCGACCUUGAAAUACCACCCUUUAAUGUUUGAUGUUCUAACGUGGACCCGUGAUCCGGGUUGCGGACAGUGUCUGGUGGGUAGUUUGACUGGGGCGGUCUCCUCCUAAAGAGUAACGGAGGAGCACGAAGGUUGGCUAAUCCUGGUCGGACAUCAGGAGGUUAGUGCAAUGGCAUAAGCCAGCUUGACUGCGAGCGUGACGGCGCGAGCAGGUGCGAAAGCAGGUCAUAGUGAUCCGGUGGUUCUGAAUGGAAGGGCCAUCGCUCAACGGAUAAAAGGUACUCCGG